UCCGGCUGGUACGUUCUACCUCUGAAGGAUAAAUAAGUCUUAAAGAAAUCCAAGAAAUUCCAAGCCAACUCACAGAAAAGAAACACCUUCCUUAAUAACUCAACAAAACAUUUCUCAGACUCAGUGAGUUGUGUUGUGCUUGCCGAAACGGCGAAAGUUACGUCUUGACGCGGGUGUCUUUGACUUUUUUUGGUGAAUCUCAAACGCGCGAGAGCGCUUUGGCUUUAUCUUCGCAACGUCGUAACAAUAACAUGCUGAAGUUGAAGUUGGCAUUUGGCGUUUUGUGAGAUGACGAUAGCCUGUAAAAGUGAGUGUUUGUAAGGAAUUCCAUUUCCACGCAGUCGUCGUUAUCGUCCUGUUCGUCAAAUCCAAAAUUGUUCCUUUGCAAAACACUUCAAAUCCCUUUGAAACGUUAAUUUCGCUGUUGCCUCUGCCGCGCUGUGUGUGUUUUUUUGCAAAGGGAAAAUCUUUUCUAGCCGUGCGUUUUUUUGCUUUGUUUGUUUGGUAUGGGACACUUUUGGCCGUGCUUAAGGACAACGAAAAGAAAACGCAACACAUCAAAUUUAAGUAUCAUUCCUUAACGUGUGCUCCAAUGUAAAGGUUGUCUCUGGCCCCAACAAGAAAAAACACCGAAAACCAAAGAAAGUAAAAUUCAACGGAAAAUGAAUUUUUUAAAACUUUGGAGUGUUGUGUGUGUGUGAGUGUGUUAAAAUUAAAGGCCAAAGUAAUGAUUUAAGGCACAGCCAUGACGAACAACCGCCUACCAGGCCUGCCUGCCUGCUAGUCUUAUACAAAGGAUGUGCAAACUUAAGUGUCUAUGUGUGAUUUAUUUGGUGCUUGACAAAACUUUUACGGUUCAGGCACUUCUUCACAAAAAGCCCUUUGGUAUUAAAGUGCUAAAGAAAGUUUACAAAAAUAAAUGUCUUCUUGAGAAAGUUUAGGCAAAUAAGUAGAAAAAGAGAGAUUUUUAAAAUAAUGGAAUAUGACUUUGAGGAAAAAAUUAGAAAAAAAAAUUACAACUCCCGAAAUGAAUGCGGAGCCUUAAACAAAGGAAGGUCGGUUUCAAUCAACAAACCAUGGUUUCGAGUGAUUUCGACGACUAACUUGAAGCCUUACAUCUAAAGGUGAUUUUGAACUACAUUGAAGAGAACGUCUGAAGUGUAACAGUGGGUCACACGUUGGUCUAGUGAAAUAGACACAGACUUUCAAUUAUUGUCUUGCUUAAUUCAGUCUUAUCUAGCUUUACCGUUCCAGGAAUUUUAAUUGUAAUGUCACAUCAACCUUGACAUAUCUGAAGACCAACUAAUCGCUGCCUAUUUGUUUGGUGUACCGCCUUCUAGCAAAUGUUACAGCCACAUUUACCUGUCAUUUCUAUGUGGACUAAUUUGUUUGUUUUUGAUGUUAAUUUAGCCGUUAAUACUCGUAAGUUAACAAAUUUAUAGUCUAACCUGUGGUUGUUCGAUGUCGCUAGCGCUAGUCCGCUGUUGUUCACAGUCUCCUAGAUAUCAAAUUGUACGAUUUGCUGUCCGACACAGCAUACAGACAACAGCGGUGCCUCUUAAACUCAUGGCAGGUAGGCAGGCAGGCAUUUCAUUUGCAAAGUGUUAAACGUCUGUGUGCAGCAACUAUCU